rnacentral:rRNA from 1 species
ACUCCUACGGGAGGCAGCAGUGGGGAAUAUUGCACAAUGGGCGCAAGCCUGAUGCAGCCAUGCCGCGUGUAUGAAGAAGGCCUUCGGGUUGUAAAGUACUUUCAGCAGUGAGGAAGGUGGAUAUGUUAAUAGCAUAUUCUAUUUGUACGUUAGCUGCAGAAGAAGCACCGGCUAACUCCGUGCCAGCAGCCGCGGUAAGUACGGAGGGUGCGAGCGUUAAUCGGAAUUACUGGGCGUAAAGCGCAUGCAGGUGGUUUGUUAAGUCAGAUGUGAAAGCCCGGGGCUCAACCUCGGAAUUGCAUUUGAAACUGGCAAACUAGAGUACUGUAGAGGGGGUAGAAUUUCAGGUGUAGCGGUGAAAUGCGUAGAGAUCUGAAGGAAUACCGGUGGCGAAGGCGGCCCCGUGGACAGAUACUGACACUCAGAUGCGAAAGCGUGGGAGCAAACAGGAUUAGAUA